CUUGAUGUGGGUCAGUGGGUGUUUUCUCAAUUUGUUAAUUUUUCAUAAAUAGGACUUUACAGGUACUUGGAGAAGAAAGGUAAGGAAAGAAAUUGAAAAGAUGCCAUGCAGGGAACAUUGAGCAUUAUCAGAUUUCAAUCAACAGUUAUCGCCUUCAGGGAAUUACAAAAUCGGCUCAGAGAUUUGUUCCUAUACCAUUUGCCCCUGAUGGUUUAACUGAAGAAUUUUAUGAUCUGGAUGCUUAUAACACUGCUGAAAGUAAGUUCAUUAUGAAACUUCAAGUUCAUCCAGAACGAAUGAGCCAAGAAGAUAGUCACAAAUUUGAUUUACUUAUCAGGAACAGACAGAAGACAUACAAAGAUAUAUAUUAAUUAGGCGUCAUUUCAAUGAUCACAUUCAUAUUUAUCGGCUCCGUUGACUCCUCAAAGUCAAAGUGAAAUUCUUGAAGAAAGCUUUCAAGGUCACAAGGAAUGACUGGUAAAAAUUGCUUACCUGAGCCAGCUUAGAAGAUGAACACAUGCUUCUGGAGUGCGAAUUCAUGCCGAGAGGAAGUUUGGAAAAUCAUCUAGUUAGAAAGGAGUGCUUAUUUCCAACCACUAUCAUAGAAUCUCCGAAUGAAGGUUACUUUCGAGGCAGCUAAAGGACUGACAUAUCUCCACAGCCCAGAAGCUAAAAUUAUAUAUCAGAAUUUCAAAUCAUCUAACAUUUUGCUUGCUGCUAAUUACAAUGCAAAGUUGAGUCAAUCAACAGUAAAAUGGGUACCUUCUGUUGUGCUGCUCCCGAGUAUAUGACCACUGGUA